CGCAAACAUUUUUAUGUUUAUCUUUCAUGUAAUUGUAUGUAUUCGUACUAUUUAUAUUUUGAGAAAAUAAUUGCGAUGCUAUGGUCUAUAAAGAUACUUGAGCAGCAUAUAAUUGGAUGUGAGUUUCAUGUCUUAUUUAGUAAAUAAAAUUGUCUAACGUUAGUCUUAAAAGAUUAAUUAAAAAAAAAUUGCAAUUUUUAACUUUUCAAAAAUAAGCAUUAUUCUAUGAGUAACCCUAUUUGGACAUAAUGGUGUAGAUAAUUGUGUACAUAAUAAUGACAUGGAAGAUAGAGAAAAAGAGAGAGAGCAAAAGAGAAGAAAUUGAUAGUUGGCAUAAGGAAAAAGGGAUAAUUGCAGCAAAACCCUCAAACCUUUAAAAUAUUAGCAGCUUUUUUUCAAACCUUUGAUUUGUUGUAACCGUCACCUCUAAUCUUUCCAAACAUUAUAGAUGAAGUCCUUUUGGAUAGUUUCCAUCCACAAUUCCGUCAGUUGACCAAAAAUUUAACUUUGACCAUAUUUUUAAUAUUUAAAACGGGGCAAAAGAGUAUUUUUCUAUUUAUUCUACUAAAAAUAAUUAAUUUAAAAAAUAAGAAAUAAAAAACAAAAAAACACAUACACUCAUCUUCUUUCACCAACCCCCACCCCACCUCAACCCUGCCAACGCCACCUCCACCUGCUAUUGGCCACCAUCAUCCAACCCAUCACAAUCGCCACCCAACAAGCCAUUUCUCUCAAAUUUUUUGACAAAACUAACAUAAAACCAAUUUCGCUAUAUCACGUCAUUCUCAUAUCUGAAAACAAUACAAAUUGCCAAAGACUCCAUUCAUUUCCCCAAGAAAUCCAUCUUAUUUACUCGUUUACCACAGUUUUUCUUCUGCAAUUACCUCACGAUUCAGCCCCAUUUUCCAAAUAUCCUAUUAAUAGUAGGCAAUGAGCUAAAAUCAUAUAUAAAUAUUAUAUAAAU
rnacentral:lncRNA from 1 species